GACGAACGCUGGCGGCGUGCCUAAUACAUGCAAGUAGAACGCUGAAGAGAGGAGCUUGCUCUUCUUGGAUGAGUUGCGAACGGGUGAGUAACGCGUAGGUAACCUGCCUUGUAGCGGGGGAUAACUAUUGGAAUCGAUAGCUAAUACCGCAUAACAAUGGAUUACCCAUUGCAUUUAUUAGAAAUGGGCAAAUGCUCCACUACAACACGGACCUGCGGUGUAUUGGUUGGUAGGUGGGGUAACGGCUCAUCUAGGCGUCGAUGCAGAGCCGACGUGAGAGGGUGGUCAGCCAGCCUGAGAGUGUGACCGGGCCCAGACGCCCACGGGUGGCAGCAGUAGUGAUUCUGCGGGAAUGGGUGCAACACUGACCGAGCAACGCCGCAGGAGUGAAGAAGGUUGUCGGGUCGUAAAGCUCGGUUGUAAGGCAAGAACGAGUGUGAGAGUGGAAAGUUCACUCUGUGACGGUAGCGGACCAGAAAGCGACGGCUAACUACGUG
rnacentral:rRNA from 1 species